UUGCCUUCGGGUAGGACUCGGUAAGGAUGAUUCAAUAUCAUCUGUUCUUAUCAGUUUAAUAUCUGAUACGUCCCCUAUCUGGGGACCAUAUAUUAAAUGGAUUUUUGGAACAGGGAGAUGGAAAAAGAGCUUGCUCUGUCCACUCCACGCAUCGACCUGGUAUUGCAGUACCUCCAGGACCGGUGCACCUCUC